AUACGAAGGGAGCUAGCGUUGUUCGGAAUUACUGGGCGUAAAGCGCACGUAGGUGGAUUGGUCAGUUGAGGGUGAAAUCCCAGGGCUCAACCCUGGAACUGCCUUCAAUACUGCCAGUCUUGAGUCCAAGAGAGGUGAGUGGAAUUCCUAGUGUAGAGGUGAAAUUCGUAGAUAUUAGGAAGAACACCAGUGGCGAAGGCGGCUCACUGGCUCGGUACUGACGCUGAGGUGCGAAAGCGUGGGGAGCAAACAGGAUUAGAAACCCCUGUAGUCC
rnacentral:rRNA from 1 species